UCAGAUUUAGGGUUUGUGGAAGAGAAAAAAGAGACGGUGCCAAAUUAAAACAUAAUAAUCAAAUCCUAAUUGAUUCCCCUACAACUCGUUGCCGUCGGUGCUUCUUAAUUUUUCUUCUGCACCAUUUUCAUCUACAUGCUAAAUUUGAAGUAGAUCUCUCUGUUUCUUCAUUUCACCUCACUGAACAGAAGAAAAUUCUUAGCCCUCACAGCCUUCAAUCAACACAUAACAACCCUAAGCCGAAAGUGCAAAUCCUAGCGUUGUGGUCAUAUUCUCACUGUAUAGAAGUCAUGAGAUGUUUGAGAAGCUUUGGGAUCACAUUCAGUCUGGUAAUUCUUCAUCAAUUGAUGUUCAUUUGUCUUUUUCAUUUUUAUUCUAUAUUUAUUUGUUUAUCUGUGAUGGUAAUUCCGAUCCACAUGUGCAUUUUCUGUUCGUUUAUUUGCUGCACUAUUUUUUCCCUUGGUUAUUUAUGAUUUGUGAAGUGAUUCUUGUUUGAGGAAAUAAGGGAUGGGAUUUGAUUUACAUUGUUUUUGCAGUUCAGAACCAGAGGGAUGUUAUUCCUUUAGAUGUAAAUGGUGACGUUGGGGAUUCUGAUGACGAUAAUGAGCAUCCAGUGUUAACAUGUUGAGUGACUUGGGUUUAUGACAAUUGUGUUUCCAUUGUGCUAUAUCGAAAUGGAAGGUGUAGGUUCUGAUUUAGGGAUUUCAUUAAGUUAGGAGUUCUAUUUGAACAUAUCAACUGUUAUGCCUUGUGUUUAGCUGCAUUAAAAGUUAACCAAUUGAUGUUCAAAUAGAACAUUUUAAGAAUCACUUGUCAAUAAAUAUCAAUAUGAACUCAAAUUUUGAAUUGUUAGUCCUAAAUACACAAAAUCUUUUUCUUAAAAGUUUGAUUGAUCUAUUAUAAGUAUUUUAUUUGCUUUUGUGUAUGCAUUGACCAUUGCAGCUCAUGUUGUUGUUUUAUUGACAGUCUCAGUGGAUGUGAUAACCUCCUGUGUUAUGGAAAUGCCGAAAUAACUUUAUAUGUUGUACAUUUUACUCGUCUAUUAGUAUUUUCAAAAAAAUUUUAGCGAGGAUUAAUGGCAAUUUAAGCAUUGAAAUUGAAAUUCUGCUCUCUUAUUGAAAUUUCAGGUUUUGCAGACGUUAAUGUCUUGGAGUAAUUGAUAGUUGGAUGCCUUGCGUUUUGCUGAAAAAAGUUUUAACUUUUCUUGAUCCAUACGCUGUUAUUGGGUGGUCGAGCAUGUAUUAAAUUUGAUUUUAUUGCCGCUACUACCUUGUAACAUCUUUUGAGAUGACAAUGUUGCGGAUUUUGAUUUGUUACUAUAAAUGUUGUUGGUUGCAGAUCAUCUUUCUGGAUGGAAACAGUCAGUUAAUUUCCUAAGCAUAAAUAUUUGCAGAAGUGUAUAAUGUCAAUUUCAAAUACACAAUAUUUCAUUCUUAUUCAAACAUCAAUUCUGGCAUUGUAAUACUUAGCAGCUUCAAAUGACUACAUCUAUUAACUUUAAUCACAGCUACUUUAAUCUUCCAAGGAAUACUUGACAUUGGCUUACACAACAAAAAUCAAAAUAACAUUGUUAACUGAAGUAGCAAUUUAACUACAAUAAAAGAAUGGAAGAAUCAGACCCCUUUUCUCUGCAGA
rnacentral:lncRNA from 1 species